CAUGUUCAUUCACUCAUGAGCUGCUGUAACAUGAAUCCAGUGGCUGAAUCACCACCUCAGCAUGCAGUCACAUUCUAUAGAGUCUUGCUAAUGACCUACUAAGUGUAUUCAGGCGUGUUGCAACAGGGAAACAUGGAAAAGCUUCAGGACAGCGGCCCUUGAGGACUGGAGUUCGAGACCCCUGCUCUAAUCUGUUUACAAGUGAGUAAAUUGGAAUCUACAUUUUUCUUGUUUCUAUGUCCCUUCUGAUCUAUAAACCUUUUAAUGGAUGUCAUCCAACUCACCUUUGGAUAUUGAAUCGAUGGGGAUGUUUGUGUCGUAUGCUGUGAUGUGACAGAUUUGUUCUUUGCAAACUGGAAGAUGCACAAUAAAGUUGACUGGAUGUGACUUAGGUUAUGCUUAUACUUAACUAUUCUAACUAGAUGUGGGGGAACAAGUCUUCUUUCAAAGUCAAAUCUCAGAAGUUGAUGCGUUGAACUGUGAUUAUUAAUCUUCUUUUGAAUGUAUUUGAAUAUAAAAGACAUCCCAAAAAUUCCUUAGAAGAGCCAGCCAGCCAUUAUCCGCUACAUAAAACCUAAGUGUAAAAUGCUUUCCCUGUACUAUCUACUUUAAAGAUGACUGAGAUAUUCGGGGAAAUGAUCCUUUACUUACAAGAUGUCCUUUGGUUUCUUACAACAGAUAAAUAUCAAAAGUGCUUUCAGAAAUGGUCCGUGGCUUUUUCCUGGUACCGUUCACAGUUGCGAUGCAGUUCAUUUAUGGGAAACUUUGAUAUCAGUGCAGAGCUUAAGAUUUUUUUUUUUUUUAUUAUUAUUUUUUUUUUAUCUCUUGCAGAUAGCUAGAAAGUGGGUGUGCCUGUAAUAUGCAUUUAUGCACUGCUGCUGACGAGCCUCACUAUGCUGGUGCCUCAUUUAGACUGUUCAGUUACUUGGAAGCAGUUUUCUGAAGAAAUAUUUCACAACUUUUUUUUGUGUGUGUGUGUGUGUGUGUGUGUGUGUGUUUUGGCACAUGUGUGAGUAGUCGCCGGAACACUUUGUGGCACCAUCAAUUUCUUGCCUAUUGCUGCACGUUUAUCUGUGAAAUUGAUGUUGAAAUAAAUUUAAGCUAAAGGGAUGAAAGAUGUGAGUGCAUGUGUGUAGUGGCCCAUAAGGCACCAGGUGCCCAUUACUGAUGAGGAAGACUUUUUCCCCAAAUUAGCACCUUUACUGUAACAUCAUAAAAGCACAAAGCCCCAGCGUGUAGUCUUUCCUCAAGCAAGACAAUGGCAGUACGGAUAAGUAAUGACUGAUGAGACGGCUAUUCAGCCUGAAAUAUGUGCUCAACAUUUUUAUUCAUUUCUUUUUUUAAAUCAUGAAUGUUUGCAAAGCAUGCCAUAUCAAAUGCACAGCGGUUGUGUCUAGUUUGGGUGAUGUUUUGAAAAGCCCUGCUGCACUUAAAAAUAACACCGCAUUACUUGUGGAUGAAUUCCAGUGUGCAUAAUCCCUUUCCUUACUCACCUAGGCUGUUCUUAUUUUGACAAACCAAAUACUUUAUCACCUUCCCUUGCCCUUCUCGCCCCCUUAAAAGAUACCAGAUUGUCAAAACUGAAUCUCAGUCUCCAUGGAAGCAGCAGUAACAAACAGGCUUUAAGGGCUUCCCCUGUUCAAAAUGUGUGCUGCGUCUUGUUUUGCGAUCUUUCACCCGACUUCCCAUAUGGCGCAUUGAGAAGUACUGAGUCAGUGACUGUUGUGGAAUAACAGGGCGAUCUCACACAUGGACUAAUGCAUACAGCCUCGGGCCUUGGCAGCAGUAUUUAAUGCCAACACUGUGUAGCAGGAUGUACUGGAAUAAACAAACAAAUAAUGAUUAAGGAUAUUCUGGGUGAAUAAUUUACUUGUUGUUCACGCAAUAGAGUCCAGACUAGUCAAAGAUAACAGAACACUCAGAAAAUGGUCAAAAUGAGCCCAGUCUAAUGAACAGUGUUAAAUAUUGUUCUUAGAAAGCCUGAGAGGAGCAACUCUUGAAGCUCUUUUCUGAGCUGAUGAACACAAUGACUGAGUUUGCCUCAGAAGUUAGCUGUUAGAGAGAGAUGAUCCUCUAACCUUAGAAAAACUGGAAAAUAUUUUAAUGGUUGUCAACCCAUGUCUUUAUUGAUAUAUAUACUGAGGUGUCAGAACUCCUCAUUAAGAGUACAGAGGUGGUCUUCAAAGCCCUUCUUUGUCGGGGAGCGAGUUGAGAGAAGCUGCUUGAAGUAUAGAGUUUCCAUAUUGUGCUAAGGCCAUCAAAAAUAGCCAAGAAAUGUUCUAACUUAAGGCAGUUUUCAUUAAAGAAAUGGCCUUCACCUCACAAUUUCCCUCAAAGUCACUCUUAAAAUGCAGCUGCUGUGCACCUUGGGGAGACCCUCAUGACACUCCUUUAAAUUGAAGUGCAGAGGGCUCAGCUACCUGUGGUGGUGUGGUAGGUGCAGAGACUAAAAUGCUCAGUCCUCUGUGGAGGGAGAGGACAGUGAUGGAAAUGUUUUAGAUGGAAAUUAAGAGAGUGCAGCUUCCUCACAUGGCCCCAGCGGUCCAUCAGUGGUGGUGGGGGGAGAGCCUGUUUGGUAUUACUGUCUUGCAGGAGUGCUCUAUCUUUGCUCCGUGAGUUAAAAGGGGAGAUAGAAUUAGACUGCAGAAUUAAAUCUUAUUAGCCCCUGUCCCACUGGCAAUCACCUUUUGCACCAUCUUCAGUGAGUGUUUGAGAGAGUCUGUGUGUGUGAGCAAGGAAGAGGGUAAGGUGGGAAGAAAUUCAACAGGUUAUUACUGACAUUAUAUUUGAAAUGAGCACAGAGGUGUGUGUGUGUGUGUGUGUGUGCGCGCGCAUCCUUGUGGUCUUAGAAUUUACAAUCCAAGUGCUACUUUGCUAGUUUAGAUGCACUGUUAACUUCAGAUUCAGCUGUUAAACUCCCCGUAAAGAACAUCACCUCUGCAUGUACAUCAUAAACUGACCUUAAAAUAGGGAAAUAAAACAGAAACCAGGUGAUGAGACCUACAUUUCAGCCUAAUCGUUUAAUUCAGUGCGGUAAUCUGACUCAUUGCAGAAUUAAUAUCAGCGCUCAUGGUUAUUCAUCAGUACAUAUUAAUGGCAUCCAAUCCAAGAUAUAUAAUUUUUUUGCACCCUGCUUUCAUGUCUCCUUAUAUAAUAGCUUUUAUUCCAGCACUCCUGACAGGGGGCCUUUGGGGCUGAGAAGCAAACUACCUGCCAGUGAAUUCAUGGUGCAUCUUCUGUUCUUCUCAGCACUGUCAGAUUUGACUUUGUUCAGUGUUAAGGGGGGAAGAGAAUCUUCAUGAAUGUGAAAUGGUGUGACCUUUUUGAGAGCUGGGAAAACCCCCCAAAACAUUUCACCUCAUCAUGCGGAUUAUUUUCUCCAUUUCCUAAAAAGUGUACAUUUGCUGCAUGUAGAGUGCUAUCAAGAAUGUUUCAGGUAACCCAGACAAACCACUACAACCAUGUUGGGGCAUUUUUCAUACUGCAUUAGAACAUGGCCAGUUAUCAUAUGAAAAUGUUGCUGUUUCAUAAGACUAGAUAAUUUUGCAAAAAAUGAAGGGGGAAAAAAAUGGAAAUGCAUUUGUUUCCACAGUAAUGACCAUAUGCAGUUUUGUCAUGUGGUUUGGCUCUGCUGCUUGCACAGAGUAUUGUUUACUGUGGUAGGGAGCGUCGGGCACAAUGAGCUUUAUAUAUUCAAAAACAAGGCAAGCAGGAUGGUGUGAUUUAUGCAGAGCUGCUUGUAUACCUGUACAGCACAGCCUGCAAAGCGGUUCUCUACCAACUGCCUUAUAACUGUGUUAAUAUGACUGUCACAACCAAAUUAUUUUGAAAUAAGUGGCAAUGUCAUUGAACUGCCGCUACAUAUAUCGUCACAAACAACCAACUGUUAAGCUUAGCUGAACAUUAACAAGUUAUACAGCAAUGUAGUAGCAGGAAAGAAAUUUUGUUGUAAUGAUCCAUUCUUUAUAGCUGUAGUUCUUCAAAGAAACUGUAAUACACAAGGCUGCACAGAUGUCAAAAUGUUUGAGGGACGAGGAAGGUAUCAGCAGAACCAGUUACUUCCUGUUUUGGCAGCAGUGUUGUUGCUCACUGUUUUAGCACUGCAACCGGAAUAAAUGCUGUGUAUCGCCUUUUGUCUUUCAUGAACUUCGCAACCUUGAGCUCCAGUCUCUAAGUAAUUAUUUAGCCAGAAUGCCACAACAGUGUAUUUACACAAUAACAGGAUUAUUAUUUGUUUCUGCAUGGAGAUUUUGCAGACACCAAUAAAGGUUUUAG